rnacentral:lncRNA from 13 species
ACUGGAGCCACUGGGAAGAAGAAUGACUUUCUGCUCCCUCCGAAGUUGCUAAGUGGGUACAUGUAUUCCAGGAGUUUCCAGGAGUAGUCUAAGGAGAGCACGCCCAGGAAGGAAGCCCACACAGAGGAGAGCAGAGACCAAGUCCUGCAGACAUUGUCCAGCCUGUGCCAAAGACGGACUCACCCGGGACUCUUAGGUGAUGUCAGCCAAUAAAUUAUUUUUCUGUUGUUCUUGUCUUAAGCAAGUAUGAGUUGGGCUCCUGUCCUUUGAAACAAACAUCUAUGGGAGCCUCCCCCCCGACAUCGUUCCUCAUUGUUAACAGCUGUGUUUCCUUCUUGCCUUUCUCCCAUGCUUAUACAGACAUACUGGACACUUUCUAAAUAAAAAUUGACGCCACUGGCUCCUCCUUUCUUCAGGAUAUACUCUUUCGCUUAUUUUUGUAAAACCUCACUCUCGGUUUUCGGCUUUCUUCCUGCCCCUCUGAAGUCCGGUCCAUCUUAUUUUUCUUCGCUGGCUCCCCUUUGUUUUUGAGUAACAGAAACCAACUCUGGCACUUAGAUGAAAAAAAUAAAAAAACAAAAGAAUUCGUUGGAAAAAUAUUAAGGAGCUAGGUCACAGAAUCGACUGGGAGUCUGGAGUACCAAGCUUGGAAAUCAGAUGGAAGUGACCUGGCUGAACUCCAAAGACCCUUUCUAUAAUAGUGUCGGUCAGGAUGCCCAAGAUGCACAGACCCAGGAGCCUGACCAGCUGAGUCUAGGUCAGAUGGCCACCCCUCGGAAGCCCCAUGGAGGUCAAGUUACUGCAGAUGCUUUUAAGAGAUGAACCCAACCAGAACUACCACCUCUGACUCACCAGCUUCUCUAAGGCUCAGGAGCAUGAAGAGACCAUCAGCCAUGUCACUGAGGCCUACAGGAACAUCGUGGUAAGUCGAGAUUGUCCUGGGCAUCCAGCGCAGAAGGCCCCCAGAGCAGCCGGUCAAUUGCCUCUUCCCCAGUGCCCCAGUGGGGCAUCAGGAAGUUCCCCUCUCAGACUCCCGGAGACCCCUCCAACUUGAAGCAAGUGUCAUCUACCCUGGAAUCUGCUGCAGCCACCCUUGAAAGAAGGUGGACAGAGGCCAGGCUUGGGAGACAGAGGACCCUGGGUUAGAAUCCUAACUACAUGGAGUUCACUUGGGUCUGAACCUCACUGUAAAAUGGGACCCAUAAUUCUCCCUGGGAGGGUCAUU